rnacentral:rRNA from 1 species
AUGGAGCCCAAGCAGCUGGCGGCCAACGUCGUCGCCGCCGCCGCCGCCGCCAAGCCGGAGGAGGACAAGGCAGACGAGGAGACGGAGACGGCCGAGGAUGAGGAGGACGCGCUGCUGGACCGCCCGCAGGCCCUCAUCUCCCGCGUCGUCGAGCAGGAGGCCAACCCCAAUCCGUACUUCAUCCACUCACGCGGAUCCGUUGGCUGCGAGUCCGGGCGCGUCGGAUCCGGUGGCCAUGGACCUACAGCUCCUCAAGGUUUGGACUUUCUGAUUUUCGAAUUACAUCAAACCUAUGUCUAG